GUUAAGCGACUAAGCGUACACGGUGGAUGCCUAGGCAGUCAGAGGCGAUGAAGGGCGUGCUAAUCUGCGAAAAGCGUCGGUAAGCUGAUAUGAAGCGUUAUAACCGACGAUACCCGAAUGGGGAAACCCAGUGCAAUUCGUUGCACUAUUGCAUGGUGAAUACAUAGCCAUGCAAGGCGAACCGGGGGAACUGAAACAUCUAAGUACCCCGAGGAAAAGAAAUCAACCGAGAUUCCCCCAGUAGCGGCGAGCGAACGGGGAAGAGCCCAGAGUCUGAAUCAGUUUAUGUGUUAGUGGAAGCGUCUGGAAAGUCGCACGGUACAGGGUGAUAGUCCCGUACACAAAAAUGCAUAUUCUGUGAACUCGAUGAGUAGGGCGGGACACGUGACAUCCUGUCUGAAUAUGGGGGGACCAUCCUCCAAGGCUAAAUACUCCUGACUGACCGAUAGUGAACCAGUACCGUGAGGGAAAGGCGAAAAGAACCCCGGCGAGGGGAGUGAAAUAGAACCUGAAACCGUGUACGUACAAGCAGUGGGAGCACCUUCGUGGUGUGACUGCGUACCUUUUGUAUAAUGGGUCAGCGACUUAUAUUUUGUAGCAAGGUUAACCGAAUAGGGGAGCCGUAGGGAAACCGAGUCUUAACUGGGCGUCUAGUUGCAAGGUAUAGACCCGAAACCCGGUGAUCUAGCCAUGGGCAGGUUGAAGGUUGGGUAACACUAACUGGAGGACCGAACCGACUAAUGUUGAAAAAUUAGCGGAUGACUUGUGGCUGGGGGUGAAAGGCCAAUCAAACCGGGAGAUAGCUGGUUCUCCCCGAAAGCUAUUUAGGUAGCGCCUCGUGAACUCAUCUUCGGGGGUAGAGCACUGUUUCGGCUAGGGGGUCAUCCCGACUUACCAAACCGAUGCAAACUCCGAAUACCGAAGAAUGUUAUCACGGGAGACACACGGCGGGUGCUAACGUCCGUCGUGAAGAGGGAAACAACCCAGACCGCCAGCUAAGGUCCCAAAGUCAUGGUUAAGUGGGAAACGAUGUGGGAAGGCAUAGACAGCCAGGAUGUUGGCUUAGAAGCAGCCAUCAUUUAAAGAAAGCGUAAUAGCUCACUGGUCGAGUCGGCCUGCGCGGAAGAUGUAACGGGGCUAAACCAUGCACCGAAGCUGCGGCAGCGACGCUUAGGCGUUGUUGGGUAGGGGAGCGUUCUGUAAGCCGUUGAAGGUGACCUGUGAGGGUUGCUGGAGGUAUCAGAAGUGCGAAUGCUGACAUAAGUAACGAUAAUGCGGGUGAAAAACCCGCACGCCGGAAGACCAAGGGUUCCUGUCCAACGUUAAUCGGGGCAGGGUGAGUCGACCCCUAAGGCGAGGCUGAAAAGCGUAGUCGAUGGGAAACAGGUUAAUAUUCCUGUACUUGGUGUUACUGCGAAGGGGGGACGGAGAAGGCUAGGCUAGCCGGGCGACGGUUGUCCCGGUUUAAGCAUGUAGGCGGAGUGACUUGGUAAAUCCGGUUGCUUAUCAACGCUGAGGUGUGAUGACGAUGCACUACGGUGCAGAAGUAGUUGAUGCCAAGCUUCCAGGAAAAGCCUCUAAGCAUCAGGUAACAUUAAAUCGUACCCCAAACCGACACAGGUGGUCAGGUAGAGAAUACUCAGGCGCUUGAGAGAACUCGGGUGAAGGAACUAGGCAAAAUGGUGCCGUAACUUCGGGAGAAGGCACGCUGGCAUUAGGUAAAGAGACUUGCUCUCGGCGCCGAAGCCAGUCGCAGAUACCAGCUGGCUGCAACUGUUUAAUAAAAACACAGCACUGUGCAAACACGAAAGUGGACGUAUACGGUGUGACGCCUGCCCGGUGCUGGAAGGUUAAUUGAUGGGGUCAGCCUUACGGCGAAGCUCUUGAUCGAAGCCCCAGUAAACGGCGGCCGUAACUAUAACGGUCCUAAGGUAGCGAAAUUCCUUGUCGGGUAAGUUCCGACCUGCACGAAUGGCGUAAUGAUGGCCAGGCUGUCUCCACCCGAGACUCAGUGAAAUUGAACUCGCUGUGAAGAUGCAGUGUACCCGCGGCAAGACGGAAAGACCCCGUGAACCUUUACUAUAGCUUGACACUGAACAUUGAGCCUUGAUGUGUAGGAUAGGUGGGAGGCAUUGAAGUGUGGACGCCAGUCUGCAUGGAGCCAACCUUGAAAUACCACCCUUUAAUGUUUGAUGUUCUAACUCGGCCCCGUAAUCCGGGGUGAGGACAGUGUCUGGUGGGUAGUUUGACUGGGGCGGUCUCCUCCCAAAGAGUAACGGAGGAGCACGAAGGUUAGCUAAUCACGGUCGGACAUCGUGAGGUUAGUGCAAAGGCAUAAGCUAGCUUGACUGCGAGAGUGACGGCUCGAGCAGGUACGAAAGUAGGUCUUAGUGAUCCGGUGGUUCUGAAUGGAAGGGCCAUCGCUCAACGGAUAAAAGGUACUCCGGGGAUAACAGGCUGAUACCGCCCAAGAGUUCAUAUCGACGGCGGUGUUUGGCACCUCGAUGUCGGCUCAUCACAUCCUGGGGCUGAAGUAGGUCCCAAGGGUAUGGCUGUUCGCCAUUUAAAGUGGUACGCGAGCUGGGUUUAGAACGUCGUGAGACAGUUCGGUCCCUAUCUGCCGUGGGCGUUGGAAGAUUGAGAGGGGCUGCUCCUAGUACGAGAGGACCGGAGUGGACGAAUCACUGGUGUUCGGGUUGUCAUGCCAAUGGCAUUGCCCGGUAGCUAAAUUCGGAAGAGAUAACCGCUGAAAGCAUCUAAGCGGGAAACUUGCCUCGAGAUGAGUCUUCCCUGGGGCUUUAAGCCCCCUGAAGGAACGUUAAAGACUAUGACGUUGAUAGGCUGGGUGUGUAAGUGCAGCGAUGCAUUGAGCUAACCAGUACUAAUGAUCCGUGAGGCUUAACC
rnacentral:rRNA from 1 species